UACGUAGGGGGCAAGCGUUGUCCGGAAUCAUUGGGCGUAAAGAGCGUGUAGGCGGCUCGGUAAGUCCGCUGUGAAAGUCCAGGGCUCAACCCUGGAAUGCCGGUGGAAACUGUCGAGCUCGAGUCCGGAAGAGGCGAGUGGAAUUCCUGGUGUAGCGGUGAAAUGCGCAGAUAUCAGGAGGAACACCCGUGGCGAAGGCGGCUCUCUGGGACGGCACUGACGCUGAGACGCGAAAGCGUGGGGAGCGAACAGG
rnacentral:rRNA from 1 species